CCUACGGGAGGCAGCAGUGAGGAAUAUUGGUCAAUGGACGAGAGUCUGCACCCGCCACGUAGCGUGAAGGAUGACUGCCCUAUGGGUUGUAAACUUCUUUUAUAUGGGAAUAAAACAGGGUAUGCAUACCCUCUUGUAUGUACCAUAUGACUACGGAUCGGCCAACUUCGUGCCAGCAGCCUCGGUAAUACGGAGGAUCCGAGCGUUAUCCGGAUUUAUUGGGUUUAAAGGGAGCGUAGGUGGAUUGUUCAGUCAGUUGUGAAAGUUUGAGGCGCAACCGUAAAAUUGCAGUUGAAACUGGCAGUCUGGAGUACAGUAGAGGUGGGCGGAAUUCGUGGUGUAGCGGUGAAAUGCUGAGAUAGCACGAAGAACUCCGAUUGCGAAGGCAGCUCACUGGACUGCAACUGACACUGAUGCUCGAAAGUGUGGGUAUCAAACAGGAUUAGAUACCCUAGUAGUC
rnacentral:rRNA from 1 species